rnacentral:rRNA from 1 species
UACGAAGGUGGCAAGCGUUGUUCGGAUUUACUGGGCGUACAGGGAGCGUAGGCGGUUGGAUAAGCCCUCCGUGAAAUCUCCAGGCUUAACCUGGAAAGUGCAGAGGGGACUGUUCAGCUAGAGGAUGGGAGAGGAGCGCGGAAUUCCCGGUGUAGCGGUGAAAUGCGUAGAGAGUCGGGAGGAAGGCCGGUGGCGAAGGCGGCACUCCUGGACCGGCAGUUGACGCUGACUGAGCGAAAGCCAGGGGAGCAAAGCGGGAUUAAGCAAACCCCGGUAG